GAUGAACGCUGGCGGCGUGCCUAAUACAUGCAAGUCGAGCGAACGGACGAGAAGCUUGCUUCUCUGAUGUUAGCGGCGGACGGGUGAGUAACACGUGGAUAACCUACCUAUAAGACUGGGAUAACUUCGGGAAACCGAAGCUAAUACCGGAUGAUAUUUUGAACCGCAUGGUUCAAAAGUGAAAGACGGUCUUGCUGUCACUUAUAGAUGGAUCCGCGCUGCAUUAGCUAGUUGGUAAGGUAACGGCUUACCAAGGCAACGAUGCAUAGCCGACCUGAGAGGGUGAUCGGCCACACUGGAACUGAGACACGGUCCAGACUCCUACGGGAGGCAGCAGUAGGGAAUCUUCCGCAAUGGGCGAAAGCCUGACGGAGCAACGCCGCGUGAGUGAUGAAGGUCUUCGGAUCGUAAAACUCUGUUAUUAGGGAAGAACAUAUGUGUAAGUAACUGUGCACAUCUUGACGGUACCUAAUCAGAAAGCCGCGGCUAACUACGUG
rnacentral:rRNA from 1 species